AUUGAACGCUGGCGGCAGGCCUAACACAUGCAAGUCGAACGAGUGGCGGACGGGAGAGUAAUGUCUGGGAAACUGCCUGACGGCGGGGGAUCACUACUGGAAACGGUAGCUAAUACCGCAUACCAUCAGAUGUGCCCAGAUGGGAUUCGCUUGUUGGUGGGGUGACGGCUCACCAAGGAGACGAUCCCUAGCUGGUCUGAGAGGAUGCCCGGCCACACUGGAACUGAGACACGGGCCAGAAUCCUACGGGAGGCAGAAGGGGGGAAUAAGGCACAAUGGGCAGAAGCCGGAUGCGGACAUGCCGGGUGUAUGAAGAAGGCCUUGGGGUUGUAAAGUGCUGUCAGCGGGGAGGCGUUACCCGCAGAUGAAGCACCGGCUAACUCCGUGCCAGCAGCCGCGGUAAUAC
rnacentral:rRNA from 1 species